AACUAACGCUAUAUAAGUAUCAGUUUCUGUACUUUAUUGGUAUAAGAAACUUCCGGAACCAACCGGCGAAAUUUUGGCCAGGCGC
rnacentral:misc_RNA from 1 species